rnacentral:rRNA from 1 species
AUUGAACGCUAGCGGGAUGCUUUACACAUGCAAGUCGAACGAGUGGCGGACGGGUGCGUAAUAUAUCGGACCGUGCCCAGUAGCGGGGGAUAACUACUCGACAGAGUGGCUAAUAACGCAUACUAUUGGCGAGGCCGAUAUCGGAUUAGCGAGUUGGUGGGGUAAAGUCUCACCAAGGCAACGAUCCGUAGCAGGUUGAAGAGGACGACCAUCCACACUGGGACUGAGACACGGCCCAGACUCCUACGGUAGGCAGCAGUGGGGAAUUUUGGACAAUGAGGGAAGCCCUGAUCCAGCCAUCCCGCGUGUAUGAGAAGGCCUUCGGGUUGUAAAGUACUUUUGGCAGAGAAGCGGUAUCUGCAGAAUAAGCACCGGCUAACUACGUGCCAGCCGCCGCGGUAAUAC